rnacentral:rRNA from 1 species
CUUGGUCAUUUAGAGGAAGUAAAAGUCGUAACAAGGUUUCCGUAGGUGAACCUGCGGAAGGAUCAUUACCGAGUUAGGGUCUUAUGGGCCCGACCUCCAACCCUUUGUUUACUACACCAUGUUGCUUUGGCGGGCCCGCCUUUUGGGGCCGCCGGGGGUUUACAAGCCCCUGGUCAGUGUUCGCCAGUAGCCUUAUUAAAUUCUUUUAUAAUUAUGUCGUCUGAGUAUAAAUAUAAAUCGUUAAAACUUUCAACAACGGAUCUCUUGGUUCUGGCAUCGAUGAAGAACGCAGCGAAAUGCGAUAAGUAAUGCGAAUUGCAGAAUUCAGUGAGUCAUCGAAUCUUUGAACGCAUAUUGCGCCCUUUGGCAUUCCGAAGGGCAUGCCUGUUCGAGCGUCAUUAUCAACCAUCAAGCCUGGCUUGUCGUCGGACCUCUUUUACCGCUGAAAUAUGUGGUAGGUCCGAAAGAUAAUGACGGCGUCGUGUUUGACCCUAGAUGCAACGAGCUUUUUAUAGCACGCAUUGAAGUGGUCGGCCGACCCGGUCUUUAACCAUUAUUUUCUAAGGUUGACCUCGGAUCAGGUAGGAAUACCCGCUGAACUUAAGCAUAUCAAUAAGCGGAGGA